rnacentral:rRNA from 1 species
UACGUAGGGUGCAGGCGUUAAUCGGAAUUACUGGGCGUAAAGCGUGCGCAGGCGGUUUGCUAAGACAGGUGUGAAAUCCCCGGGCUUAACCUGGGAACUGCGCUUGUAACUGGCAAGCUAGAGUGUGGCAGAGGGGGGUAGAAUUCCACGUGUAGCAGUGAAAUGCGUAGAGAUGUGGAGGAACACCGAUGGCGAAGGCAGCCCCCUGGGUCAAGAUUGACGCUCAUGCACGAAAGCGUGGGGAGCAAACAGG